rnacentral:rRNA from 1 species
GACGAACGCUGGCGGCGUGCUUAACACAUGCAAGUCGAACGGAAAGGCCCUGCUUUUGUGGGGUACUCGAGUGGCGAACGGGUGAGUAACACGUGAGUAACCUGCCCGUGACUUUGGGAUAACUUCAGGAAACUGGGGCUAAUACCGGAUAGGAGCUCCUGCUGCAUGGUGGGGGGUGGAAAGUUUCGGCGGCUGGGGAUGGGCUCGCGGCUUAUCAGCUUGUUGGUGGGGUAGUGGCUUACCAAGGCGUUGACGGGUAGCAGGCCUGAGAGGGUGACCGGCCACAUUGGGACUGAGAUACGGCCCAGACUCCUACGGGAGGCAGCAGUGGGGAAUAUUGCACGAUGGGCGGAAGCCUGAUGCAGCAACGCCGCGUGCGGGAUGACGGCCUUCGGGUUGUAAACCGCUUUCGCCUGUGACGAAGCGUGAGUGACGGUAAUGGGUAAAGAAGCACCGGCUAACUACGUG